CCUACGGGAGGCUUCAGUGAGGAAUAUUGGUCAAUGGACGAGAGUCUGAACCAGCCAAGUAGCGUGAAGGAUGACUGCCCUAUGGGUUGUAAACUUCUUUUAUAUGGGAAUAAAACGUUCCACGUGUGGGAUUUUGUAUGUACCAUAUGAAUAAGGAUCGGCUAACUCCGUGCCAGCAGCCGCGGUAAUACGGAGGAUCCGAGCGUUAUCCGGAUUUAUUGGGUUUAAAGGGAGCGUAGGUGGAUUGUUAAGUCAGUUGUGAAAGUUUGCGGCUCAACCGUAAAAUUGCAGUUGAAACUGGCAGUCUUGAGUACAGUAGAGGUGGGCGGAAUUCGUGGUGUAGCGGUGAAAUGCUUAGAUAUCACGAAGAACUCCGAUUGCGAAGGCAGUUCACUGGACUGCAACUGACACUGAGGCUCGAAAGUGUGGGUAUCAAACAGGAUUAGAUACCCCUGUAGUC
rnacentral:rRNA from 1 species